GCGGAGGAAAAGAAACCAACAGGGAUUGCCUCAGUAACGGCGAGUGAAGCGGCAAAAGCUCAAAUUUGAAAUCCCCCGGGAAUUGUAAUUUGAAGAGAUUUGGGUCCCGGCCCGGCGGGGGUUAAGUCCCACUGGAAAAGUGGCGCCACAGAGGGUGACAGCCCCGUGAACCCCUUUAACGCCCUCAUCCCAGAUCUCCAAGAGUCGAGUUGUUUGGGAAUGCAGCUCUAAGUGGGUGGUAAAUUCCAUCUAAAGCUAAAUACCGGCGAGAGACCGAUAGCGAACAAGUACAGUGAUGGAAAGAUGAAAAGCACUUUGAAAAGAGAGUGAAAAAGUACGUGAAAUUGUUGAAAGGGAAGGGCUUGCAAGCAGACACUUAACUGGGCCAGCAUCGGGCGUGUUUUUGGGCGCGGAC
rnacentral:rRNA from 2 species